GCCGUUAGGGAUGGGAGUCAUGGACUCAUGGGACGAUGAAAAAGGAGGUCAGAAAAAUGAAACGGAAUUUAUUUUAAUAAAUAAAUAAUGUUGUAUUAUUCGAUGAUGGAAAAGUUAACUAGACCGACAAAUAGCUAGGCACCUAUUAAAAAUAAAAAUAAAAAUAAAAAGACAUUAAAAUAAAAAUAUUAUACGAGGAUUCAAUAAACUGAAGUCGACGAAGGAUAGUAGUCAUGUAGUGAGAUAGAAAUGGGGCCACUUUAAUUAAAAAUAAAAAAAAU
rnacentral:lncRNA from 1 species